rnacentral:rRNA from 1 species
UACGUAGGUGACCAGCGUUGUCCGGAUUUACUGGGCGUAAAGAGCGCGCAGGCGGUCGUUCAAGUCGAGCGUGAAAGCCCCCGGCUCAACUGGGGAGGGUCAUUCGAUACUGAUCGACUGGAAGGCAGGAGAGGGAAGCGGAAUUCCCGGUGUAGUGGUGAAAUGCGUAGAUAUCGGGAGGAACACCAGUGGCGAAGGCGGCUUCCUGGCCUGUUCUUGACGCUGAGGCGCGAAAGCUAGGGGAGCAAACGGG